UUAAAAAGACGAUCGUAUAAUUCUUAUAUUAUAAACCGUAGUAUGCAUUUAAUCAUUGAUUGUGACAACCAUGACUCUACAUUGUAAUAUAAUCAUGCUCUUUGUAUCUGAAAUUCCCUUUUUAUCUGCAUAUUCUCCUAUUAAUUUAAGAGGUCACUUCCUUUUGCAUAUCAUCACAUCCUCACCUUUUACUUUAAUUCUUUUUUAUAAUACUCCUCUCCUUGAUCCCCUUUUUAGUUGAAAGUGGUCGCUUUAAACCCAGGCGCUGGUUCAAAAGCAUACCCCUUUUAUCUUUUGGUACAUCUUUUUGGAUAAAAAAGUGAAUCCCUUUGAGGGUUUAUUCAUUUUUUUUAUUAAGAAGAAUUAAAAAAACAAUUAGUAAGAAAUAAAAAAGGAAAAUGAGUUAUAUUUGAUUUAUGAGCGGUAUAUAACUAUGUAUGAAAAAUGAAUUGUCAAAUUUUAAACGCAUUAAAUUCUUAGGUUCAAGUGAUAGUGGAUG
rnacentral:lncRNA from 1 species